AGUGAACGCUGGCGGUAGGCCUAACACAUGCAAGUCGAACGGCAGCACAGUAAGAGCUUGCUCUUACGGGUGGCGAGUGGCGGACGGGUGAGGAAUACAUCGGAAUCUACUUUUUCGUGGGGGAUAACGUAGGGAAACUUACGCUAAUAGCGCAUACGACCUACGGGUGAAAGCAUGGGAUCUUCGGACCUUGCGCGAUUGAAUGAGCCGAUGUCGGAUUAGCUAGUUGGCGGGGUAAAGGCCCACCAAGGCGACGAUCCGUAGCUGGUCUGAGAGGAUGAUCAGCCACACUGGAACUGAGACACGGUCCAGACUCCUACGGGAGGCAGCAGUGGGGAAUAUUGGACAAUGGGCGCAAGCCUGAUCCAGCCAUACCGCGUGGGUGAAGAAGGCCUUCGGGUUGUAAAGCCCUUUUGUUGGGAAAGAAAAGCAGCAGGUUAAUACCCCGCUGUUCUGACGGUACCCAAAGAAUAAGCACCGGCUAACUUCGUG
rnacentral:rRNA from 1 species